UUGAACAAGCAUCCGUUUCUCUUGACACUGCUUUUCAUUGUAUCAUAGCUUAGCUUCAACACUUUACUCAUCAUUUUCCGACUGCUUUUCCCAGAAAACGAGAUACUGAAUUGGAUUACGAAAACCGCCAAAUGGGUAGCCACUGCCAGACCAAGGAAAAAGUUUGUGAAAUAUGCGGAGGUAGUAAUGCUCGUUUUGGAUUUUUACUUGUAACUUGUUCUAAAUGCACUGGAACUUGUGAACAUGUUUAUUGUAUGGGAGGAAAACUAAAGCUUGAGGUCCCUCAAGAUUGGGUCUGCGAAUCAUGCCUCACUGGCACGGACUCGAUGCUGAUGGAAUCUGGGAAGAAAGAUGCUCUUGUGACAUCUUCAUUCCAAGAAGAUGAAGCUGUCACAAGAACAAUGAGAAAUGAGAAAUUUUCAUUUUUUCAGCUUAAUUCUAAGAAGCAAAAACCUGUAAACGCUGGUAAAGUUAAGUUCAUUCCUCAUGCAGAUGCCAUUAAGCUAUCUUCAGGGACCUCAGUAACAAGAUUAUUAACCUUCAAAGAGUCAAAAGCUUUAGUACCUUCUGAGAAGUUGCAUACUCACCAGAAGCAAUCUAUGGAUGCUAUUUCUGUUUCCAAAAAUCACUCUGACAUUUCUGAAAAUAAGAUAGAGAAUUCAACAAAAAAAUCACCUUUAUGUUCAAGACCUGUUGAUCCAGGUGGCGUUCCUAGGAUCAUUUCAGAGAAAAAACCUGCUGACCCAUGCACAAAAGAGCCUCUAACAGAAAGACAGUCAACGAAUACCUUUAUCCCACCUAGAAAAGUUGAAAGUUCGAAUGAAAAGGAAGAGAACGAACUGGUCGAAAAAUCAUGCACAUUGUUGCCAUCAUCACUUGAUGUUAGUGCAGGGAUUUGCAGAGUAGCAGCCACUCAUCUCAACUUUCGACCUAAUGGAUUGAUUGAUUCAUCGUUUCUACCCCAAAAUUCUCUAUCUUUACACCUACCUGAAUCAUCUAUCAGAUUCUUUGUCAUGGAUAAUGAUCACUCAAUUGCUACACUGAUAGACUCUGCGACGUCAAAAAUGCAACACCUUCAGAAAGCAUUUGCUGAACUUGAAAGUCAAUGGGUUGUAUCCCUUGAUUUAAAAUGGAAAGAACUUGAACAACAUUUUCUUGGGCUUGAAAAAUCUUUAAAGAGGCGUUUUCAUGAGUUGGAAGACCAAGAAAAGGAGUUUGAGAACAGAACAAUGAAAGCCCAAGAUUUGUUGAAGAAGAAGGAAGCAGAUAUAGUGGCCAAGGAGCAAGCUUCAUUGGACAAGAUUCAAGAGAAGAGAGGUGCUGCUGUAUUGGCCAUUGCUAUUGCUCGAGAUAAGCACGGGAAGGCAUCAUCUGAUGAUCCGGCUGUUGUGAUGGAUGAGACACCACAAGACAUUACAAUUUCUGAUGGUAACUUAGAGGGAAUGAAAAGUGUUGAAAAUGAGCAUGCAGGUGUGAAGUCUUAUCCCCAGUUAGUGAAACUAUGUAAAGAGAUGGACUCAGAAGGGCUUCACAAAUUUAUAUCAGACAACAGAAAAAAUCUUGCUGCCAUAAGGGAUGAAAUUCCAUUUGCAUUAAGAGCUGCAAUCAAUCCUGCAUCUUUUGUGUUGGAAUCUUUGGGAGCCUUUUAUCGCGUGGAAGCUCUCGAUAUGGAUGGAAAGAAGGAUUCAAAUCUCUUGGGUCGUCGCUGCACAUGUAUCAUGUUGAUGGAAUGUCUGAGCACUUUGUUAACAAGCCUAGAUUUGGUCUCUGCUUCUGAGGUAAUCACAGAAGAGGUUAAGGAGCAAGCAAAAGAAAUUGCUGAUGAAUGGAAGCCAAAGUUGGAUGCCCUUGAUCUGGAUGCUAGCAAUGGGAACUCAUUUGAGGCUCAUGCAUUUCUGCAACUUCUGGUCACUUUUGGUAUUGCCUCAGAUUUUGAUAAGGAGGAAUUGUCCAGGCUAGUACCAAUGGUUUCUCGCCGUCGCCAAAUGGCUGUUCUGUGUCGUUCCCUUGGACUGUCCGAGAAAAUGCCAGGUGUAAUUGAAGUACUGGUUAAUAGUGGAAGACAAAUUGAUGCUGUCAACUUGGCUUUUGCUUUUGAAUUGACAGAGCAGUUCUCUCCUGUGGCUUUACUGAAAUCUCACUUGAGGGAGGCAAGGAAAGCUGUUUCACCAUCCAAACCAGGGAAUACAUCUCCUAAUGUUCAGAAUGAGGUGAAUAAGCGAGAGUUGACUGCUCUUAAGGCCGUGGUGAAGUGCAUAAAAGAGCAUAAGCUUGAGGAACAGUACCCAGUGGAUACACUGCAGAAGAGGGUUCUCCAGCUGGAGAAGGCCAAGAAAAGGGUGACUGAAUCAGCAAACUCUCAACGAAAGAGACCUCGGGCUAACGGUGUUGGCAUUGGGCCUCAUGUUACUAACAUUCCUCCUGAAAAGACUUUCUAUCCUAGAGUUGCCGAAAACAGGUAUCCGCCACAGUACAUGUAUGAACGACCCUAUGUCUACCCCGGACCAAAUGACAACCAUUGUCCUCCUCUGCUCGGUUCUGCAGCUUACAGCCACUCCCCCGGACAUGGCAACUACUUUGCAAACGGCUACCAGUACCAGAACACAUAUCUUCACUAGUUAGUAAAAAUGGCCAAAAGGUGACUAUCCUCGUUUUAACGGGGAGGCUUCAGCAUUCUUGAUAGGAAUCCAUGUAAAUUCCUCAGUGGGUUCCAGGCACAACUUCCUUGCAAAUUCAUCCUAAAGUUGCCUCCAGUUCUUCAAGUUAAUUGAGAUGCUUACUCAGUACCAUUUCUUGGUUGACCUCUUCCAAGAUGAGUGCCCAGAUCUUUGAGAUGUUGCAUUGUACUUUUUUCCCAGCUGAUAACACUGAAAGAUCAAGACAGAACUAUGUGAAGCUGUUUAAACAGAUUGAGAUCCAUGAAAGAGUUAUGAUAAGUUAUAUUAAUGAUGUUGAGCUUCUAAUAUUCACAUCUACACAGCUUAAAUAUCUAUUCACAGAAUAUUUUGUCAUCAGAAUCAAAGCAACUCUUCUGGGGCAUAUUCCAUAGCACCGAUGGCGAACCUCUUCCUUCCAACACAUAAGGGGAGCUUCCCACUUCGGUUAGUACUCUGGCCGACGAGGACAUGGAAAUCGACGGCCCACUGAUUCGUAAAUUGUGAAGAUUCACAGAAUUCAGAAUAGAUUAAAAGUGGGAAAAUUUUACUAUCAGGUUUCAUAUCAGAUGUCAUCUCUUCGUUUCAACAGGAACAUGUUGUUUCUCCUCCUCCUCCUUGGUUUGCAAACAAAGUAAAAUCCAAAUCCAUCUCUGUAGAUUUUUCACAGUAGAGUAGAAAUGGUACAGUUGUAUAUAUCUUCUCUUCUUUAUACAAUAAAUGCCCAUUGGACAGGAAAUUUCUUGUACUUUUUAUAAUCUAAUCUGCUAUAAAAAGGCAAAAAUAAACUGAUACUUGGCAAUA